UACGUAGGGUGCAAGCGUUGUCCGGAAUCACUGGGCGUAAAGGGCGCGUAGGCGGCCGAGUAAGCGUGCGGUGAAAGCCCGGGGCUCAACCCCGGGUCGGCCGUGCGAACUGCUGGGCUUGAGCACUGUAGAGGCAGGUGGAAUUCCGGGUGUAGCGGUGGAAUGCGUAGAGAUCCGGAAGAACACCGGUGGCGAAGGCGGCCUGCUGGGCAGUGGCU
rnacentral:rRNA from 1 species